ensembl:lincRNA
AAAGAAAAAGAGGUUUAAUGGACACACAGUCCCACAUGGCCGGGGAGGCCUCCCAAUCGUGGCGGAAUGUCUUACAUGGUGGCAGGCAAGUGCGUGUGUGCAGGGGACCUGCCCUUUAGAAAACCAUCAGAUCUCGUGAGACUUCCUCACUAUCAUGAGAACAGCAUGGGAAAGACUCGCCCCCAUCAUUCAAUCACCUCCCACUGGGUCUUUCCCACAACACGUGGGGAUUAUGGGAGCUACAAUUCAGGAUGAGAUUUGGGUAGCAGCACGGCUAAACCAUACGCGCUUUGUGGAGACCAGCUUGCUCACCGUCACCCAGCUGGUGAUUGGGGAGGACGAGAAUCAAAGCCACAUUCUCAUGGCUUCCAUGUUCUUCCCUUUGUGCCACCGCAUGGUCAGUGAAAGAGCCCUGUCCUGGAGGGUAGAAAGUCUGCUUAAUUCUCGGCCCCGCUGUUUACUGCAUGUGGGAUCCCAGGGAAGGGAGCCUUUACCCUGAGAGCCACGGCUGGUGCUUCCUGAUGAGUGCUGCCCAGGAGCCGAUCUAGGGGGCUAACAUGGGAAAGCACACAUAAACAUGCUUUGAAAACUGUGCUCAGCACAUGCAGGUGUGUACGAGGAGAGAAUUGAGAACCUGGACCUCUGAUCAUAGACUUGACCUUGGAGCCCAGGGACACCUCAAGAGAUGGUGUAUGGGCCCAGCAAUUAACUCCAACAGGAUUUGAGGAACUGGAUGGAGGCCAGGACCUCCAACUCCAAACUCCACUCUCUCCACUCUCCUGGUGUUAGUGGGUGCCCUGACAAUCAGCACCUUUGCUUCAGGCAUUAUCCCCCAUCUACCCACUCUAUAUCCAUCAUCUACCCAUCCACCCACUCAUCCAUCCAUCCAUCCAUUCACCCAUUCACCCAUCCACCCAUUCAUCCAUCCAUUCUGCCCAUCCAGCCAUCCACCCAUUCAUCCAUCCAUUCAUCCAUCUACCCAUCCAGCCAUCCACCCAUCCAUUCACCCAUUCACCUAUCAACCCAUUCAUCAUUCCAUUCAUCCAUCUACCCAUCCAUUCAUCCACCCAUUUGCCUAUCCACCCAUUCAUCCAUCCAUUCAUCCAUCUACCCAUGCAGCCAUCCACCCAUUCACCUAUCCACCCACUCAUCCAUCCAUUCACCCACCCACCCAUCAACCCAUUCAUCCACCCAUCCGCACAUCCCCCUAUCCACCCAUCCAUCCAUUUUCCUUCCUUCUAUUUACCCAUCCAUUUGCCUACCACACACUCAUCC